rnacentral:rRNA from 1 species
ACAACCGGGAUUGCCUUAGUAACGGCGAGUGAAGCGGCAAAAGCUCAAAUUUGAAAUCUGGUACCUUCGGUGCCCGAGUUGUAAUUUGGAGAGGGCAACUUUGGGGCCGUUCCUUGUCUAUGUUCCUUGGAACAGGACGUCAUAGAGGGUGAGAAUCCCGUGUGGCGAGGAGUGCGGUUCUUUGUAAAGUGCCUUCGAAGAGUCGAGUUGUUUGGGAAUGCAGCUCUAAGUGGGUGGUAAAUUCCAUCUAAAGCUAAAUAUUGGCGAGAGACCGAUAGCGAACAAGUACAGUGAUGGAAAGAUGAAAAGAACUUUGAAAAGAGAGUGAAAAAGUACGUGAAAUUGUUGAAAGGGAAGGGCAUUUGAUCAGACAUGGUGUUUUGUGCCCUCUGCUCCUUGUGGGUAGGGGAAUCUCGCAUUUCACUGGGCCAGCAUCAGUUUUGGUGGCAGGAUAAAUCCAUAGGAAUGUAGCUUGCCUCGGUAAGUAUUAUAGCCUGUGGGAAUACUGCCAGCUGGGACUGAGGACUGCGACGUAAGUCAACGAGCUGCAUA